AAGGGAUCUGUUCUUAGUACGAGAGGACCGGAAUGGACGAACCUCUAGUGCAUCAGCUGUUUUACCAAAAGCACGGCUGAGUAGCUAUGUUCGGUCGGGAUAAGUGCUGAAAGCAUCUAAGUACGAAACCCACCCUGAGAUUAGGUAUCCCUGGCGCAAGCCACUAAAGACUCCAUGGAGAUGACAUGGUUGAUAGGUCACAGAUGUAAGCGCAGUGAUGCGUUCAGUCGAGUGAUACUAAUAAGUCGUGCGGCUUGAUUUUA
rnacentral:rRNA from 1 species